CACAACAUCUCAAAACCAUGGUGUCUUCAUCUCUCUGGUUGUUGCUGCUGUUAGCAGUUAUUUCUUGUGUCCACUGUGUCAAACUGACACAGACCGAAUCCAGUGCUUUAAGGCCUGGUCAGCCAUUGACACUGUCAUGUAAGGUUUCUGGAUAUUUAGUGACUGACGGCAGCUACUGUACUGGAUUCAUACGACAGGCUGCAGGAAAAGCUCUGGAAUGGAUUGGAAUGAUAUGUGGUGGUGGUAGCACAUACUACAGUGAUAAACUGAAGAGUAGAUUUCAAGUUAACCGAGACUCUUCCAGCAGCUCAGUUACUCUCCAAGGACAGAAUAUGCAGACUGAGGACACAGCUGUGUAUUACUGUGCUAGAUAG